AUCUAGAAUGGUGAUGGGUGAAUUUGUAGAAGGAUGAGAGUCAAAGAAUCCUUCUGGGAACUAAUUUUUGGCCUUCAACAAGAAUUGUGAUAU
ensembl:miRNA